AUAUCAAUAAGCGGAGGAAAAGAAACCAACAGGGAUUGCCUCAGUAACGGCGAGUGAAGCGGCAACAGCUCAAAUUUGAAAUCUGGGUCUUUCAGGCUCCGAGUUGUAAUUUGUAGAGGGAUCUUCGGGUGUGGUCCGGCCUAAGUUUCAUGGAACUGAACAUCAUAGAGGGUGAGAAUCCCGUAUGCGGCCGGGUGCCUAUAUCCAUGUGAAGUCUCUUCGACGAGUCGAGUUGUUUGGGAAUGCAGCUCAAAAUGGGUGGUAAAUUUCAUCUAAAGCUAAAUACCGGCGAGAGACCGAUAGCGCACAAGUAGAGUGAUCGAAAGAUGAAAAGCACUUUGGAAAGAGAGUUAAAAAGUAC
rnacentral:rRNA from 1 species